rnacentral:rRNA from 1 species
CAUGAAGUUGGAAUCGCUAGUAAUCGCGGAUCAGCAUGCCGCGGUGAAUACGUUCCCGGGCCUUGUACACACCGCCCGUCACACCAUGAGAGUCGGGAACACCCGAAGUCCGUAGCCUAACAGCAAUGGGGGCGCGGCCGAAGGUGGGUUCGAUAAUUGGGGUGAAGUCGUAACAAGGUACC